rnacentral:rRNA from 1 species
GAUGAACGCUGGCGGCGUGCCUAAUACAUGCAAGUCGAGCGAAGCGGGGACGGGUGAGUAACACGUGGAUAACCUCCUAUAAGACUGGGAUAACUUCGGGAACCCGAAGCUAAACCGGUUACUUAUAGAUGGAUCCUGGCUGCAUUAGCUAGUUGGUAGGGUAACGGCUUACCAAGGCUACGAUGCAUAGCCGACCUGAGAGGGUGAUCGGCCACACUGGAACUGAGAAACGGUCCAGACUCCUACGGGAGGCAGCAGUAGGGAAUAUUGCGCAAUGGGCGAAAGCCUGACGGAGCAACGCCGCGUGAGUGAUGAAGGUCUUCGGAUCGUAAAACUCUGUUAGUAGGGAAGCGGUACCUAAUCAGAAAGCAACGGCUAACUACGUGCCAGCAGCCGCGGUAAUUC